rnacentral:tRNA from 1 species
UCCCUGGAGGACUAGUGGUUAGGCCACAGUGCUCUGACCGCUGUGGCCCGGGUUCAGUUCCCGGCCAGGGAU